rnacentral:rRNA from 13 species
GGGUUGUGAGGUUAAGCGAAUAAGCGUACACGGUGGAUGCCUAGGCAAUCAGAGGCGAUGAAGGACGUGCUAAUCUGCGAAAAGCGUCGGUAAGGUGAUAUGAACCGUUAUACCCGACGAUAUCCGAAUGGGGAAACCCAGUAUCCAAUGGAUACUAUCAUUAACUGAAUCCAUAGGUUAAUGAGGCGAACCGGGAGAACUGAAACAUCUCAGUACCCCGAGGAAAAGAAAUCAACCGAGAUUCCCCUAGUAGCGGCGAGCGAACGGGGAGCAGCCCAGAGUCUUAAUCAAUAACAGUGUCAGGAGAACGGUCUGGAAAGUCCGGCAGUAAAGGGUGAUAGCCCCGUAUCUGAAGAUGCUGUUAUUGUGAACUCGACGAGUAGGGCGGGACACGUGUUAUCCUGUCUGAAUAUGGGGGGACCAUCCUCCAAGGCUAAAUACUCCUGAUUGACCGAUAGUGAACCAGUACCGUGAGGGAAAGGCGAAAAGAACCCCGGCGAGGGGAGUGAAAAAGAACCUGAAACCGUGUACGUACAAGCAGUAGGAGCCUCUUUAUGGGGUGACUGCGUACCUUUUGUAUAAUGGGUCAGCGACUUAUAUUCUGUAGCAAGGUUAACCGUAUAGGGGAGCCGUAGGGAAACCGAGUCUUAACUGGGCGAAUGAGUUGCAGGGUAUAGACCCGAAACCCGGUGAUCUAUCCAUGGGCAGGUUGAAGGUUGGGUAACACUAACUGGAGGACCGAACCGACUAAUGUUGAAAAAUUAGCGGAUGACUUGUGGAUGGGGGUGAAAGGCCAAUCAAACCGGGAGAUAGCUGGUUCUCCCCGAAAGCUAUUUAGGUAGCGCCUCGUGAACUCAUCUUCGGGGGUAGAGCACUGUUUCGACUAGGGGGUCAUCCCGACUUACCAACUCGAUGCAAACUGCGAAUACCGAAGAAUGUUAUCACGGGAGACACACGGCGGGUGCUAACGUCCGUCGUGAAGAGGGAAACAACCCAGACCGCCAGCUAAGGUCCCAAAGUCAUGGUUAAGUGGGAAACGAAGUGGGAAGGCUCAGACAGCCAGGAUGUUGGCUUAGAAGCAGCCAUCAUUUAAAGAAAGCGUAAUAGCUCACUGGUCGAGUCGGCCCGCGCGGAAGAUGUAACGGGGCUAAACCAUGCACCGAAGCUGCGGCAGCGACACAAAGUGUUGUUGGGUAGGGGAGCGUUCUGUAAGCCUGCGAAGGUGUACUGUGAGGUAUGCUGGAGGUAUCAGAAGUGCGAAUGCUGACAUAAGUAACGAUAAUGCGGGUGAAAAACCCGCACGCCGGAAGACCAAGGGUUCCUGUCCAACGUUAAUCGGGGCAGGGUGAGUCGACCCCUAAGGCGAGGCUGAAAAGCGUAGUCGAUGGGAAACGGGUUAAUAUUCCCGUACUGGUGGUAACUGCGAUGGGGGAACGGAGAAGGCUAGGUUGUCCGGGCGACGGUCGUCCCGGUUCAAGCAGGUAGGCAGAGUGAUUAGGCAAAUCCGGUCACUUAAUGCUGAGAUGUGAUGACGAACCACCAAGGUGGUGAAGCAAUUGAUGCCCCGCUUCCAGGAAAAGCCUCUAAGCUUCAGGUUACCAACAAUCGUACCCCAAACCGACACAGGUGGUCAGGUAGAGAAUACUCAGGCGCUUGAGAGAACUCGGGUGAAGGAACUAGGCAAAAUGGUGCCGUAACUUCGGGAGAAGGCACGCUGGCGGUAGGUAAAGUCCCUCGCGGACGGCGCUGAAGCCAGUCGAAGAUACCAGCUGGCUGCAACUGUUUAUUAAAAACACAGCACUGUGCAAACACGAAAGUGGACGUAUACGGUGUGACGCCUGCCCGGUGCUGGAAGGUUAAUUGAUGGGGUUAGCGUAAGCGAAGCUCCUGAUCGAAGCCCCAGUAAACGGCGGCCGUAACUAUAACGGUCCUAAGGUAGCGAAAUUCCUUGUCGGGUAAGUUCCGACCUGCACGAAUGGCGUAAUGAUGGCCAGGCUGUCUCCACCCGAGACUCAGUGAAAUUGAACUCGCUGUGAAGAUGCAGUGUACCCGCGGCAAGACGGAAAGACCCCGUGAACCUUUACUAUAGCUUGACACUGAACAUUGAGCCUUGAUGUGUAGGAUAGGUGGGAGGCUUUGAAGUGUGGACGCCAGUCUGCAUGGAGCCAACCUUGAAAUACCACCCUUUAACGUUUGAUGUUCUAACCUAGGCCCAUAAACUGGGUCGGGGACCGUGUCUGGUGGGUAGUUUGACUGGGGCGGUCUCCUCCUAAAGAGUAACGGAGGAGCACGAAGGUUGGCUAAGCAUGGUCGGACAUCAUGCGGUUAGUGCAAAGGCAUAAGCCAGCUUGACUGCGAGAGUGACGGCUCGAGCAGGUACGAAAGUAGGUCUUAGUGAUCCGGUGGUUCUGAAUGGAAGGGCCAUCGCUCAACGGAUAAAAGGUACUCCGGGGAUAACAGGCUGAUACCGCCCAAGAGUUCAUAUCGACGGCGGUGUUUGGCACCUCGAUGUCGGCUCAUCACAUCCUGGGGCUGAAGUAGGUCCCAAGGGUAUGGCUGUUCGCCAUUUAAAGUGGUACGCGAGCUGGGUUUAGAACGUCGUGAGACAGUUCGGUCCCUAUCUGCCGUGGGCGUUGGAAGAUUGAGAGGGGUUGCUCCUAGUACGAGAGGACCGGAGUGAACGCACCACUGGUGUUCGGGUUGUCAUGCCAAUGGCAUUGCCCGGUAGCUAAGUGCGGAAGAGAUAACCGCUGAAAGCAUCUAAGCGGGAAACUUGCCUCGAGAUGAGUCUUCCCUGUCGCUUUAAGCGACCUAAAGGAACGUUUAAGACUAAGACGUUGAUAGGCUGGGUGUGUAAGCGUAGCGAUACGUUGAGCUAACCAGUACUAAUGAACCGUGAGGCUUAACCUGACAACACCGAAAGUGUUUUG